rnacentral:lncRNA from 1 species
AAUCCUUUUAAAGAAGGUGAUCUCUUUGAGCAUACACCUUGUGCAUUUUGAAGGCUGUGCUAUACACGGUUAAAUGUAGCACAAUUUAAUUUGCAGCAUGGGAAUCCUAUUAAAGAAGGUGAUCUCUUUGAUCAUACAUCUGGUGCUUUAUAAAGGGUGCGUUAUAACUCGGAUCAAUGCUAUUACAAGCUAUGGUAAUUAUCUAUUGAAGGCUUAGAGCUGCGCGAAAGAACCGACUUUCAAGGACUAAAAGGCUUUCUCUAAUUGUUGGCAUCCAAAUCUUGUAAUCACAUCUCCAUGGUGAAAGUGAAGGAAACAAGCAAUGGACAUAUCAUAGAGAGGCAAAGAAAGAAGGCAAGCUGAGGUGGAGGGAAACUAUAGUUGACUCGGUCCUUGGAGUUGUAACCACACCUUGCGAGGGUCCGAAGGAGAAAAUCGUAGCUUGUGUGUUUCUGGAAUCUGGAUUGGCUUCGUCAGGACUUUGCCCAACCACAGAAAGCAAGCGCCAGUGCCUGUACGGCCUGUAUAUAAUACAGUCACUUUAAACAGUUAAGUGUAUAUAUGACAUGAGCACUUUAAUAUAGGACAUGAGCAUACUCUUGACAUAUUCCCCAACUGUUUUCCUGGGUUCGAACCCGGGUCAACCGUUUAGAAACAGACACACACAACCACUGGGCUAUGCCUGGUGGUUGUUUCCCUAACUGUUUUCCCCCACACUUUGACAUUUG